UCCCUGGUGGUUCCAGUGGUUAAGAAUCUGCGUUUCUACUGCAGUGGGCCUGAGUUUGAUUCCUGGUCAGGGAA
rnacentral:tRNA from 1 species